UUAGAAUUUUUAAGAAUUAAAAAAAAAAAAAAAGUUGGCCCAAAAAACCAAAAAAAAAAAAUUUGAAUACAACAGCUAGCUGACUAGCCGUUGCAUUCAAAUUUUUUAUUUAAACAAUCCUGUUGGUUAUAACGGACAUGAAUGCUAUAUUUUCUGGCCAGCCCCGGGCUGGCUGGUUGGCUGCUUGCAGCCAGCCCUCUAGCCCUCUCCGAUUCCGUGGGGCCCUCUCAGAUUCCACAGCCCUCUGGCCUAGCCCUCGGUUGGAGACGGUUUUCAGGCUAUUUUCGGCCUUCUGGCCCUCUGGACCCUUUGGUUGGAGAUGGCCUUAGUAUCUCGACCCACCUUUUCUCUACCUAGCUCCUGCUCUCCCCGUCUCCCUCCUCGCCUCAUCUCCCAAUCUCCCAUCGAUUUACACUUAAAUCUCAUAUGAAUCUCCUUGGUCUCAAAGGUGUCCUCUCCUCCAAACCCAGAAAAGCUUUAGCCUUCCGACGACUCUGGGUGCCAUAAUCUAAGCAGUUCAGCAGCUAAUAGGAUGAGGAUCUGUGCAGACUGAUGGACUUGGUAUUGCUUGGGGAGCAACAUGUCAGGACUUUAAUUAUUUCUAAGUAUUAUCCAGUUUAUAAUAUGGUGGAAUAAAUAUUGGAUGCCUGAUGAGCAAAAGAAACAGAGAUUUAUAGCACAAUGAGCAUACCUCCAAUCCACGUUUUGAAACCUUUUCAGUUGAACAAGAAGUUUGGAGUCUCUGUUCUGCAUGUAAAGCUUCAAUUUUCAUAUCAAGUUUUCGUUUGUAUUUUGAAUGAGAGAAGAAGCUGUAAUUUGGGUUAUAAUUUUUCCCAUCGCAGAUUUACGAAGUUGGACCGAACUUUUAAAAUAUACUUCAGGAUUUGGAAAAAAAAAAUGUUGCUUUUUCUAUAUCAGGUUCUGAAUUGCCCAUACCAUUUUUCUAAUUAGAGAAUAUCAAGCACAAUCCUUUUUAUAUA